AGAAUCAACGCUGGCGGCGUGCCUCAGACAUGCAAGUCGAACGCGAAAGGCCCCUUCGGGGGCCGAGUAGAGUGGCGCACGGGUGAGUAACACGUGGGUAAUUUGCCUUCGGGUGGGGAAUAACGGCCGGAAACGGCUGCUAAUACCGCAUAAUGCAGCGGCAUCUAUGAUGACAGUUGUUAAAGCGGGGGAUUCGCAAGAACCUCGCGCCUGAAGAGAAGCCCGCGGCGGAUUAGCUAGUUGGUAGGGUAAUGGCCUACCAAGGCGACGAUCCGUA
rnacentral:rRNA from 1 species